AGACAAUUGGUAGAUUUCAAGUAAUCAAGCAAUCAAAGGUGGUGAAUCUUCCGAAAGAGGGCAAAGAAAUUGCAUUCGAGGAUCAAUAGUCGGAGUACUCCAAAAUUCAUACUACUGAUACAGUUCUAAUGAAGGCCCAUCCUUCCAAUUGGAUCAUUAGGGGAAUUAGAGUCAACUAAAAGCUCAACAAUAAAUCG